CAAAAAAAUAUAAAAAUAAGCACAUGGUGUUGGUCGUAGGACUGAUCUUAUUAUCAAUCUGAUCAACAGCUAGGCAUUAAAGCUUGAAGAGAUAAAAAGAAAAUAAUAUUCUUACAAAUCUCAUUUGCCAAACUCAGAGAAAAGAAAAAUUCAAUGGCAAAAUUUGCUCAAGAUCUGAAGGAUAGAUUUCUCCGUCUGGUUGAAGCCAUCACUUCUUGCAAAAGUGCUAAAGAUGGAGAGGAACCCCAUUUGAAGACUGUGCAGAGAGCAGUUAAGGGCCCAACAAAGCCCCCAGUGACCAAAGGUGCUCAUCCUCAGACUGGUUAAAGAUCAUUCAAAUCAAAACAGCUUCAAAGUUCAUAGAGUGGCUUAAUAAUUUGUUGAUUACUACUUGGAUAUGUAAUUUUUUGUUUUGCAUGCUUUGUGUAGAUUGUUAUCAGGUAGAUAUUGCUUUCUUUGGAAUUAUAUCAUCUUUAUUUGUGGAUUAA